rnacentral:rRNA from 1 species
UACGGAGGGAGCUAGCGUUGUUCGGAAUUACUGGGCGUAAAGCGCGCGUAGGCGGCUUUGUAAGUUAGAGGUGAAAGCCCGGGGCUCAACCCCGGAACUGCCUUUAAAACUGCAUCGCUUGAAUCCGGGAGAGGUGAGUGGAAUUCCGAGUGUAGCGGUGAAAUGCGUAGAUAUCUGGAGGAACACCGGUGGCGAAGGCGGCAUCCUGGACCGGUAUUGACGCUGAGGCGCGAAAGCUAGGGGAGCAAACGGG